AUGAAAAAAGAAAAUGGAAACAUUUAUAUGAACAAUACUGUAGAUAUUUUAUCACAAUUUUAUAUACUCAAAAAAACAUUAAUUAAUGAAAAUUUAUUUAAAAUUCUAUUUUUUUUAAUUCUUUUUAAUUCACCAAUUGAUACUAAACUUUCAAUUCUACAAUAUGGUGUUCAGACAUAUAAUUGGCCGCAUUCUUUGAUUAAUUAUAUUCCUCUCGUGUCACAAGCAUCCAAAUUAAUAGGAAUAUCAAUUUUUCAACUAUAUACAAAUAAAAAAUGUUACAAGACCUAUGCAAUGAUAAUAAUAUUAUUAAACGUUUUACUGAAAAUAACAAAUUUUAUUUUUUUGUAUUAUAAUAAAAAUUCUUAUAUUAGCCCAUUUUUAUUUUUAUUUAACAUAAUAGUACAGAAUGUUUCCAUAAAAAUUCUAGCUAUGCCUAUAUUAUUGUUAUGUAUACAAAAGGCACCUUUAAAUUUAGAAUCAACUAUUAUUAAUAUAUACAUAUUUUGUUUUAAUUUUUCAAAUUUAAUUAGUAAAAGAUAUUUUAUAUGGAAUGUUAUUUUACAUAUGUCCAAAAAUGUCUUCAUAAUUUUGCUUCUUUCCUUUUUAACUACAUGUGCUAGUUUACUAUAUUAUUUAAAUAUAUCCUUAGAUUCAUUAAACAAUGAUGAUAAUAAUAAUAAUAAUAAUUUAUUAAAUUCACCCUCUUGGAUAACAUCAUCAACAAAGUUACAUACAGAUGAAAAAAAAUAUAUGUAUUCGAAAUUAAAUAUAACGAAUAAUUACUUUAAUACAAAUUUAUUUAACCAACAUAAACAAAUGAAUUUAAAAAAUAAGAAUGUCCAUUUUGAAAAUGAAAAUAUAAAAGUAGAAAAUCAUAGGAAAGAUGAAAAAAAAAAGUAAAAAUAAUUUAUUUAAAAUUUCACCAAAUUAUGAUUCGGAUAGUGAUCAAUGGAUGAUAAUUGACAAUUUAAAGGUAGUUAAAAACAAUAGGGAAUUUUUUUUUUUAUUAUAUACAUGUUCAUAUGGAUUACUGUUCAUGCAGAUUACAUGUUCAUGCAGAUUACAUGUUCAUGCAGAUAGAUAUAUUUAAAAUCUUUCUGUAGUUGUCCACUUUCAUAUUCUACUUUUUUUAUUCUACUUUCUUUUUUUUUUUAAAACUUUAAUAACGAUUUUUUUUUUUUUUUUUUUUUUUCCAUUUUCAGGGUAACAUGAGAAGAACUUACUUAAAUCAAAAAUAACUAAAUAUUAAAAAUAACUAUUUAAAAUGUUAUGUUAUAUAUAUUUUUUUUUUAUAUACAAAAUUUUAAAUUUUAUGACAUACUUGAAUAUGUAUUCCUGAGAUGUUAUAAAACUAUUUUAAAACGAGUAAACAUAUAUCAUGGAAAAUGGGCGGAUAAAUGGAUUAUAAUAAAAAUGAGCUCAAGGUAUUGUUCGUUUAUUUA
rnacentral:lncRNA from 1 species